rnacentral:tRNA from 1 species
AUUUAUUUAGUAUAUAAGUACAUUUGACUUCCAAUCAAAAAGAUUGAUAUAAUCAAAAUAAAUA